AGAAAGAGAAGAAGCAUAAUGAUUUUUUAAAAUUUUGUGGGGUUCAUAUUUACAUGGCAUAUAAAAUAUUUUGCCAUAUCAAUUUAGAAGAAGCAUAAUGAUUUUGUUAUAAUAGUUUUUUUUAGUUUCAUAAUAUUUAAAUUCUUUGGUUGUUCUAUGUUUAACAUGCUACACUUCCUGCUGCAAUUUUGAACAUUAUAACUGCCUCAAGUAGUUCCGAUGACGCAAGUCGUAUAAGUAUUAUGGAUAAUAUCAUGGAUGAAAAUGCUUAGACCAUUGGAUGAAAUGUGUGAACCAACAAUGCUGGCAAUAUGGUUCACGUAAUGCACAGGGCCAGAGGCUAUUGGAAGAAAAUUUAUAUUUAAAUUAAAUUAGUAUUAGAUUAAGCUUAGCAAUUAUGGAUAUUUGAUGUUUUCAAUUUCUUUUUUGUAAGUAAGAAAAUACUUUUUAGGAGUUAUUUAAUUUUUAAGACGAAAUAUUUAGUAAGUGUUUUAUGUAUUGACCUUCGUACAAUAUAUAUAAUUUAUUAUUUUACAUA